CCCCCUGGCCGCCGAUGCGCUGGCAGCAGUUGUGCUGAACGAGCAGUUCAUCGAGUGCGUCACAGACCUGGAGCAGCUGCCCCAGCAGCCGACGGUCAGUGCGCAGCCCGGUGACGUGGUCGUGGCCCUGGAGGAGGGCAGUCCGUCCCGGGCGCUGGUCUGCGCCGCCGGCCCCAGCGGUUACAGACUGCUGUUCGUCGACUCCGGCACGCUGGGGGUGGCGGCGGCGGCGCCGGUGCGUCCACUGCCC